GGACUACUGGGGUUUCUAAUCCUGUUCGCUCCCCACGCUUUCGCUCCUCAGCGUCAGUACCGGCCCAGAGUGCCGCCUUCGCUACUGGUGUUCCUCCCGAUAUCUGCGCAUUUCACCGCUACACCGGGAAUUCCACACUCCCCUACCGGACUCGAGUCACGGCAGUUUCACGUGGCGCCUCCACGUUAAGCGUGGAGAUUUCACACGUGACUUGCCGAACCGCCUACGAGCUCUUUACGCCCAAUGAUUCCGGACAACGCUAGGCCCCUACGUAUUACCGCGGCGGCUGGCAC
rnacentral:rRNA from 1 species